rnacentral:rRNA from 1 species
GUGGAACCACCUGAUCCCAUCCCGAACUCAGAAGUGAAACGCAAUCGCGCCGAUGGUAGUGUGGGGUCUCCCCAUGUGAGAGUAGGUCAUCGCCA